AUUUUUAUUGCGACGGACAACAAUUGGAAUUACGGUAACGGCACCAAUAAAAGUCUGAUUAUUUUUGAAAUUUUCAAAAGAUUUUACUAUGUCAUAAAAUAUUUUAACGAUUAUUUACGACCGUAUUUUUACAGAAAAUUACCGAAAAACGCGAUUUUUCGUAUAUCGCUUUUCUGCACCAUAAUGCAUUUGUAAUGCAUUAAAACAACAAAAGUGUUGGCUUUUUUUAUGUAGCGAUCCGCCUCCUUACAUGGCAUUUACCAGAAUUUAUACCAAAUAAAUAACAGUCGGUCUCUGGCGGUUUCGUUCGUUCAAAAAAGAAAUUGCGACUGUCAUAAUGAUUUCGCAUAAAAUCCGUAACGCCUCUGCGAUCGGGCCAACACAAUUAAAACAAACGUACCGUAUCGACCACUACCACGUUUAUUGUUAUUUUUAUCGUAGUCCUUUACUCCUUCACCUCCACGACUACUAAAAUAUAUUUAUAUACAUAAAGACAAAUAAUAAAACAUAUGAGUAUUGUCAAUGUGACCUAUUAAAUUUCUAUUAAAUGUUCUAAAUAGUAAUUUAUGACAUAGCUAUCAGUAAGCCUAAUUAAAUCUACAAGACACUGAUCAACAGAGAGAAAAAAUCAUUAGGCAUACGAAUUUUGAUGAUACAAAAAAAUAGCCACUUAAAUCACUUGGAAUUAGGAAUUUUUAGCUGAAUAACGCGAUUAACUCUUAGUAAUUUUUAAGUUACUCAAAAAAAUACAAUUCUUGAGUUGUAAAUUUGAUAAAAGUACUAAACUAUAAACGUACUGCAACAUUGUUCUCCUUCGGGUAUAAUAUAAAAGCCCAUUUGGGCACUAUAACACUCCAAAUAACUCGUCCGGACAUCUAAAAUGUACUCAAUCUAAAGAUCAACUAACAAUUAACUGAGAAAAAAAGAUAAGAUUUAAAUUAUGGGACCAUAAACGAAUUGGUACAUGGGACAAAUUUUACUGUACCAUUCGGUAAAGUUUGAAGAUAAUUUAUAUGUCAAACACUUAGAAGUUUAUGGACGUUGAGUUUUCGAUUUUCCAUUCCAAAAUAUUUGUUUGACAUAGAUAUCCUAGACUGAAUCAUAAAAUCAUCCAUACUUUAUAAUAAACUAGUUUAUUGAAAUAUUGGAAUAAACUGGUCCACUUCUAACACUUAAGUGAACUUAAUCAAAAUUUAAUGCUAAAAGCAUUACUAAUUACAUUUAAUCUAUGGUGGAUUUGACUUAUCCUCAAAAAAUUGAACUAAUAAUCUAGGCAUCUUUUUGCUUAUAAAAUAAAAAAAUUCAAAGAAAAAUAUUUGUUAAAGGUAGGAUCUAGAAGUAUAUUAAAUAGCAAAACUUUGUGUAAAUGGAAAGUGUUUUGUACAAUUUUAACAGGAAAAAUGAAUUAAUUUCAAGGGCCAGUUUAAAUAUUUGUUAACAAAAUCUAAAUAAAUAAACUAAUAACGACACAAAAAUCAUGGUAGACAAUUGCAGCAACUUACUCAGUACUUGGAUGUCCAGUAACUUCAUUAUGCAUAAGACUACUGUGCUAUAGCAAAGUGAGCAGUCUAUGAAAGGUUGUUUGUCAAUACUUGAAUCAAUAGUAUUAUACCAAGAGUAAUAGCUCAAAUAUAUUCUUAUAUAUACACAUUUUAAGUAACAAAAUAACAAAAAAAGUUUAACCCAAUUAUUGAUAGGGUAUUGUUAUUAAAAGUUCAUAAGUUUUAUCAUGAAUUAAUCAAA